AUACGGAGGGUGCAAGCGUUAAUCGGAAUUACUGGGCGUAAAGCGCGCGUAGGCGGUUUGAUAAGUCGGAUGUGAAAUCCCCGGGCUCAACCUGGGAAUUGCAUUCGAUACUGUCAGGCUAGAGUGUGGUAGAGGGAAGUGGAAUUUCCGGUGUAGCGGUGAAAUGCGUGGAUAUCGGAAGGAACACCAGUGGCGAAGGCGGCUUCCUGGACCAACACUGACGCUGAGGUGCGAAAGCGUGGGGAGCAAACAGGAUUAGAAACCCUAGUAGUCC
rnacentral:rRNA from 1 species